CAGCAGGAACAGGAGACCUAUCACUAGCUACAUUUGGAUAAAGGGCCUCUUGGUCCAUAGGCAUAAAGCUGGAACAGCAGAAAUCAUGGCCAACUUAAACUUUAAAAGAACCUCGGGUUGCAUUAAUGAGCCAAAAGAGCAAGGGAAAAGGAGACAGUCUGCUUCUGUAGUCUGUAUUGCGUCCCUUACUAUGUUAUGAAGAAAUGUGAGGCAUAGCUUCAGUUCCACCAGAUGAAGAAGACUUUGGCCCCAGGACCAAAGUCAAGUCAAGAUCACAUGACUUGCUGUGCAGCUCAAGGGCCAGUGAACAAAGGACCACUAUGGAGAAGUGUAGAAGACACAAUUGACUUUCUGGCCACAGGUGCUUUUCAAGAUGUUCACAUCAGAAACAAAGGCGAAAAUCCAAAACUAUGUUCUCAAGAGCAAACAAAAAAUGGUAUAAUCAAUA